ACAGCAGCAGCCGCGGUAAUACGUAGGUGGCAAGCGUUGUCCGGAAUUAUUGGGCGUAAAACGCGCGCAGGUGGUUUAAUAAGUCUGAUGUGAAAGCCCACGGCUCAACCGUGGAGGGUCAUUGGAAACUGUUAAACUUGAGUGCAGGAGAGAAAAGUGGAAUUCCUAGUGAAGCGGUGAAAUGCGUAGAGAUUAGGAGGAACACCAGUGGCGAAGGCGGCUUUUUGGCCUGUAACUGACACUGAGGCGCGAAAGCGUGGGGAGCAAACAGGAUUAGAUACCCCUGUAGUCCCUGUCUCUUAUAC
rnacentral:rRNA from 1 species